rnacentral:lncRNA from 1 species
GGAAAAUUGUAUCUCAGCAGGUUCUACCCGGAAUCUGGCCUCCUGUUCCUUUAAGACAAAGUGCUUUAGGAUUCCUGUGCAAGAAGGGAACGAAACACCUCUGUAAAGAAGAAAAGACCAAGGCUCUGCUGGGACCUAGGAUGGGUGUCUGAGCUCUGAUGCCUUCUUAUCUCCAAUCAGUCUGAGUGUCUUUUUUGUCUGUCUUCCUCUGUGCUCGAUCCUCCCUCAGCUCUUUGGACCCAAACAGAAGAGACUGAGACUGCAGUGGACACCCCUCAGGAAAAUCCACAGAUAAACAAGCAAGCACAAGGAUCAGAGGAUUGGGUUAUUAAUCAGAGAGGUUUCCCUUCACUCUUCCAUAAGGCAAUGCAUCCUUUGAAUCGGAUGUGCAGUUUUGGGCAGGGCUCCACUCUGGGUCAGGAACACUGUGAACUGCUUUGCAUACAUCAUUUCAUGUCACAGUCUUAUUUUAUAUCAGCUUUCUAAUAUAGAUGUUAUGGACCUAACUAGGUCUUCUCAGAAUUCGUAUAUUGAAACCCUUUCCUCCAAC